UUUUCAUCUAUAUCGUAGUAACAUUGGUCUGAGAAGGUUUCGGAAGUUUUUGGGACCAGAUGUGAUACUUUGUCUACGCUUUGUUCCCCAAAGGGUAACGAAGGAGCUGCUGCAGGAAGAGGCCAAGGAGUCCUCAGAAGAAGAUCUAAUCGUGGGCCUAUCAGCACUGGCAACAAGGUCGGGGAUCAUCACUGCUCAUCCCGC